AAGCGCUUGUGACCAGACUUGGGCUUGGUUAAUCAUCCGGCGUUCUCGCCGGUGCACUUUUCCAGUCCAGGCCAGCAUCAGUUUGCCCCGGGGGAUAAAAGCUUAGGGAAUGUGGCUCCUCCGGGAGUGUUAUAGCCCUCUGCAGAAUACCC
rnacentral:rRNA from 1 species